rnacentral:lncRNA from 1 species
AUAAGCCCAAAAAAAACGUGAAGCCCAGAGAAACAGACAGCCUUCGAACAUUUCCCUUUGUCUUCUCCACUUUGUCUUCUUCAUGCCUUAAAUCAGCUAAGACAUCUUCAAGACUCGAUCAUAUCAUUCCAACACCCCCCCUCAAGUUGGAGGGGUGGAAGAAACUCCCAACUUGUGUAAAAGAGAAUGAUGGACAGGUCCAAUAAGGGAUUUGGUAAAUAAGUCAGCCAACUGGGAGGCGGAAGGAACAUAGGACAAGGAGAUAAGACCGGCGAGGUACUGUUGACGGACGAAAUGGCAGUCAAUCUCGACAUGCUUCGUCCGUUCAUGAAAGAUGGGAUUUUUUGCAAUAUGGAUAGCGGCAAGGCUAUCGGAAUGAAGUGGCACCGGCAAGGAAAUGGGAAUGGAAAGAUCUUCAAACAAACAAACCAACCAGGUAAGCUCAGAAACAACCCUUCUCAUGGAUCUAUACUCAGCUUCCGCAAAACUUAGGGAAAUGGAAGUCUAUUUCUUAGAUUUCCAAGAAAUGGGGGAAGACCCCAGUGAAAUGUAGUAUCCACUUACUGAAUUUCGUGAAUCUGGACAGGUACCCCAGUCAGAGUCACAAAAAGCGAGCAACUUGAAAGAAGAAGAGGCAGACAUAAACAAUCCAAGGCCUGAAUCUUUAAGUAAGUAACGAAGAACCCUUAAAGCAGCAAACAAAUGGGGUUCACGAGGGUCCUGCAUAAAUUGACUGAGAUGCUGGACUGUG